rnacentral:rRNA from 1 species
UACGAAGGGGGCUAGCGUUGCUCGGAAUCACUGGGCGUAAAGCGCACGUAGGCGGAUCUUUAAGUCAGGGGUGAAAUCCCAAGGCUCAACCUUGGAACUGCCUUUGAUACUGGGGAUCUCGAGUCCGGAAGAGGUUGGUGGAACUGCGAGUGUAGAGGUGAAAUUCGUAGAUAUUCGCAAGAACACCAGUGGCGAAGGCGGCCAACUGGACGAAUACUGACGCUGAGACACGAAAGCGUGGGGAGCAAACAGG